CAGUCGCCGCGGGAACACGAAGGGGGCUAGCGUUGUUCGGAAUUACUGGGCGUAAAGGGCGCGUAGGCGGCCAUUCAAGUUAGAUGUGAAAGCCCUGGGCUCAACCUAGAAAUUGCAUCUGAUACUGUUUGGCUUGAGUUCGGGAGAGGUGAGUGGAAUUCCCAGUGUAGAGGUGAAAUUCGUAGAUAUUGGGAAGAACACCAGUGGCGAAGGCGGCUUACUGGGCCGACACUGACGCUGAGGCGCGAAAGCGUGGGAAGCAAACAGGAUUAGAUACCCGCGUAGUCCCUGUCUCUUAUAC
rnacentral:rRNA from 1 species